rnacentral:rRNA from 1 species
UACAGAGGGGGCUAGCGUUGUUCGGAAUUACUGGGCGUAAAGGGCGCGUAGGUGGCCUGUUAAGUCGAACGUGAAAUCCCUCGGCUCAACCGGGGAACUGCGUCUGAUACUGGGUGGCUUGAAUCCGGGAGAGGGAUGCGGAAUUCCAGGUGUAGCGGUGAAAUGCGUAGAUAUCUGGAGGAACACCGGUGGCGAAGGCGGCAUCCUGGACCGGCAUUGACGCUGAGGGCGGCGAAAAGCCAGGGGAGCAA